rnacentral:rRNA from 1 species
GUCUACAGCCAUGCCACCCUGAACAAACCCGAUCUCGUCUGAUCUCAGAAGCUAAGCAGGGUCGGGCCUGGUUAGUACUUGGGUGGGAGACCACCCAGGAAGACCAGGUGUUAUAGGCG